rnacentral:rRNA from 1 species
UAUGAUAGUGGCGCACGGGUGCGUAACGCGUAUGCAACCUACCUUCAAUUGGGGGAUAACUCUGGGAAACUGGAAUUAAUACCGCAUAAGAUAGUAAUGCUUCAUGGCAUAGCUAUUAAAGAUUUAUCGAUUGAAGAUGGGCAUGCGUGACAUUAGUUAGUUGGUGAGGUAACGGCUCACCAAGACUUCGAUGUCUAGGGGUUCUGAGAGGAUGAUCCCCCACACUGGUACUGAGAUACGGACCAGACUCC